AGGUUUUAGCUUAAUUUAAAGUGAUUGUUUUGCAGACAGUAGAUAACAUAUUAUGUUAAAUCUUA
rnacentral:tRNA from 1 species